rnacentral:rRNA from 1 species
GGCUUAGAGUUUGAUCCUGGCUCAGAUUGAACGCUGGCGGCAUGCCUUACACAUGCAAGUCGAACGGUAACAGGUCUUCGGACGCUGACGAGUGGCGAACGGGUGAGUAAUACAUCGGAACGUGCCCAGUCGUGGGGGAUAACUACUCGAAAGAGUAGCUAAUACCGCAUACGAUCUGAGGAUGAAAGCGGGGGACCUUCGGGCCUCGCGCGAUUGGAGCGGCCGAUGGCAGAUUAGGUAGUUGGUGGGAUAAAAGCUUACCAAGCCGACGAUCUGUAGCUGGUCUGAGAGGACGACCAGCCACACUGGGACUGAGACACGGCCCAGACUCCUACGGGAGGCAGCAGUGGGGAAUUUUGGACAAUGGGCGAAAGCCUGAUCCAGCAAUGCCGCGUGCAGGAUGAAGGCCUUCGGGUUGUAAACUGCUUUUGUACGGAACGAAAAAGCUUCUCCUAAUACGANAGGCCCAUGACGGACCGUAAG